AUAUCAGUAAGCGGAGGGAACGAAACUAACAAGGAUUCACUUAGUAGCGGCGAAUGAACCGAGUACAGUCCAGCGAUAAAUUGGUACGUUUAGGUGUACCGACAUGUAGCGUAUCAGGGCACAAAUUUCCCAUGACCGGGUGCCAAAGAAGAUGAAAGACCUGUAGCGCUCGAGACUUUGGCCAAUUGUUUUUUCUUAAAGUCGGGUUUUUUGGGUGAUCGCAGCUCAAAGUAGGUGGUAAACUUCACCUAAGACUAAAUACCCCCACGAGACCGAUAGCGCACAAGUA
rnacentral:rRNA from 1 species